ensembl:snoRNA small nucleolar RNA SNORA54
CCGCACUGUACGUAACCUGCGCCAGACCACCGUCUGGCGUCUGGGUUCCAUUCCGGUGCCACAGCAAACCCCAGCGAGGCAGGGGAGCAGUGCUGGUUUUCUGUUCUGCCUCCCUGUUCACUCACUGGGAACAACU